rfam:Giardia lamblia ATCC 50803 SC_592 genomic scaffold, whole genome shotgun sequence.
AAUUAAAAGCUGUGAUGACAGGUUCUUGCCCCGUAUGACCCUGCGAUGAGUUAUACAAAAGAACGCAUCCAAGCCAACCGGCUGAGCUC